rnacentral:lncRNA from 1 species
UCUGAGACAGCUCUCAAUCAAGUGACACGGACUCGCCAGCCUAUUUCGUUGUCAUUUUUACGAACGAUCCUCUUCUAUUUUUCACCUGCAACGUAUCGGUGUCAUCAGAGCCCAGACGAUAAUUCCAACCGUCAUAUCUUGAAGUUCACUGAUCAUGUCUUCUGGCUGCUAGAAUCCACGACUGAUAACCUCUCGUGAACUUCUAAAUUUCAGUGACUAUACUUUUCAGCUCCAGAUUUCAUGCCUGCAGUGUUUCCAGCCUCAGUUCUUAUUUAGGCAAAGCAAAGAACACCCACGUUCAUCCUUCC